CCUACGGGUGGCAGCAGUGAGGAAUAUUGGUCAAUGGGCGCGAGCCUGAACCAGCCAAGUAGCGUGAAGGAUGACUGCCCUACGGGUUGUAAACUUCUUUUAGAAAGGAAUAAAGUGAGGCACGUGUGCCUUUUUGUCUGUACUUUAUGAAUAAGGAUCGGCUAACUACGUGCCAGCAGCCGCGGGAAUACGGAGGAUCCGAGCGUUAUCCGGAUUUAUUGGGUGUAAAGGGAGCGUAGAUGGGUUGUUAAGUCAGUUGUGAAAGUUUGCGGCUCAACCGUAAAAUUGCAAUUGAUACUGGCAGUCUUGAGUACAGUUGAGGUAGGCGGAAUUCGUGGUGUAGCAGUGAAAUGCUUAGAUAUCACGAAGAACUCCGAUUGCGAAGGCAGCUUACUAAACUGCCACUGACAUUGAUGCUCGAAAGUGUGGGUAUCAAACAGGAUUAGAUACCCCUGUAGUC
rnacentral:rRNA from 1 species